rnacentral:rRNA from 1 species
UNUGACUUGAGUGCAGAGGGGGAGAGUGGAAUUCCAUGUGUAGCGGUGAAAUGCGUAGAUAUAUGGAGGAACACCAGUGGCGAAAGCGGCCCUCUGGUCUGUCACUGACGCUGAGGCUCGAAAGCGUGGGUAGCGAACAGGAUUAGAUACCCUGGUAGUCCACGCCGUAAACGAUGAGUGCUAGGUGUUAGGCCCUUUCCGGGGCUUAGUGCCGGAGCUAACGCAAUAAGCACUCCGCCUGGGGAGUACGACCGCAAGGUUGAAACUCAAAGGAAUUGACGGGGGCCCGCACAAGCGGUGGAGCAUGUGGUUUAAUUCGAAGCAACGCGAAGAACCUUACCAGGUCUUGACAUCCCGAUGCUAUUCUUAGAGAUAGGAAGUUACUUCGGUACAUCGGAGACAGGUGGUGCAUGGUUGUCGUCAGCUCGUGUCGUGAGAUGUUGGGUUAAGUCCCGCAACGAGCGCAACCCUUAUUGUUAGUUGCCAUCAUUAAGUUGGGCACUCUAGCGAGACUGCCGGUAAUAAACCGGAGGAAGGUGGGGAUGACGUCAAAUCAUCAUGCCCCUUAUGACCUGGGCUACACACGUGCUACAAUGGUCGGUACAACGAGUUGCGGGCCGGUGACGGCAAGCUAAUCUCUGAAAGCCGAUCUCAGUUCGGAUUGGAGGCUGCAACUCGCCUCCAUGAAGUCGGAAUCGCUAGUAAUCGCGGAUCAGCACGCCGCGGUGAAUACGUUCCCGGGCCUUGUACACACCGCCC